CGUAUGGUGGCUGUCUGAUGAUGGUGGUUUGAAUAUACUGCUGCCAUACAUAGUGUCUAGAAGAGCGUUCAAAGAAAAUAUUCCACUUCGGAUUUUCGCUCUUCCUAAAAGAAACAUCAUAUCUGACGAGUUUGAAGCAAAGAUGGCUGUAUUAUUAGAAAAGUUUCGUAUUAAGUGUGAGUCGUUGCAUAUGAUUGAAGACUACUGGGUCGACCCUUCAGCAGAAAGUUGGCAAUUGUUCGACGAGAUCGUCGCCGGGUCCAAGACGGACACGAAUAGCGAUACCCUGAUAUCAAACGAGGAACUGGAAAGGCUACGUCCGAAAACCGCAAGACAUUUGAGGCUGCGAGAAAUAAUACUACAAAAUUGUUUACAGACAAGCUUAAUCAUGUU